rnacentral:tRNA from 3 species
GCGCGGUUAGCUCAGCGGUAGAGCGACCCCUUGACGUGGGGUAGGCCGGGGGUUCAAUCCCCUCACCGCGCACAA